CCACAUCACAAACUCGCCGAAACCCACAAACCCGAAUCCACUGUCAAAACCCUCUUCGCCGCCAACAAUCCUUGCUUUCUCCUGUUUAUAUUCCGCAAUCCGACACCACAAACCCCUUUCGACCACGCCAACAACGUGAACCCAUCCGCCGAAGACCUUGGCGCCUUGGUUCUCAUGCUUUUCAUUGAAGAUCUUGUUAGCUGAGUCGAAGAUUGUGAUUAAGCUUCGUCAAAUCUCACCACUGUAAUCGUUCAAGAGCCGAAGCGUUCAUUCCGCUGCCGGUGUCGUCAAGUGAGCAAUAAGGCAACAACAAAGGCACAGCUUUGACUCCGCAUUCGGUAAUCUUUUAAACAGAGAGCAAUAUUGAGGAUUUGAAUCUGUUUAGAAAUUUCUGGUUCUGAGUUAAGCUUAUUUGUCACUGUUUUUUGAUUUCAAAUGGAUUGUGCAUCUUUGUUUUACGUUUUGAUUAUGUAUAUAUGUUGAUGCUCAAUGCUGGCCAAAUGCAGUAUGAUGUUAGUUUGGUCUGUCCGUUCUAUUAUGGUUAGUUGAUACUCCUCAUUGUUGUUUUGCUUGAUUGUUCCUAUUUUUGAUGCGAAUCGAUUUCGGUCACUUAGAUUUCAAGAUCUUCAAUUCGAUUUUGAGCUGUAGUAAA
rnacentral:lncRNA from 1 species